CUUUGAUUGCAUACUGGCAUGUAUAAAGAACGGUGGUGCCAGCAAGAGUAGGGAGUUGAUCAUCCACCUGUACUCAGCUCUGGUGAGGCCACACCUUCAGUACUGUGUUCAGUUUUGGGCCCUUCACUACAAGAAAGACAUUGAGGCCCUGGAGUGUAUCCAGAGAAGAGAAACUGUGUGUGAACUCUCCUCCCUUCUGCUCAGCCCGACUGCAUGUCUCACCUCAGCAUUAGAGUCCCUGAGGAUAGAGAGCAAGGAAGAUAUGCCCUUGGUUCACCUAUUUCAAGAGGAUCAGAUCAAGGUAUAUUUAAGCAAAUUGAAGCUGGGCCCUGAUGGAAUGCAAUCCACAAUAACUGAGGGAUUCUCAACUGGUUAACCCCAAAAGAAAUCUAGUCAAAAGGAAAGAAAUCAGCUUAAGGAAAAUAUAAUUUACCGUUUGUGCAAAACAAUUAUUAAAACAUACCAAUAAUUCAUUUUUUCAUGCAAUAAAAAGGAAAUGUGUAAGUAGAGUAGGAAUAAGCCAGCCUUUCCUACAGCAAACCUACACAGCUUCAAGUAUGCUGGAGUAUGUAUGCCCUUCAGAAUAUACAACACUAUUCAUGUUUCCAACAUGCUAUUGAAUCAUAGAAAAUGGCUCGGAUGGUAAACCAGGACAAUUCAGAGCACGCUAUGCUUAUGACCUCUCUAAAGUACAUAGAAAAAUGAUGUAGAUGUAGUUAGUUAGUAAAGUGCUAAACAAGACUUCUGUCAGAAAGAAUAUAAAGAGCUGCCUAUCAUUUUAUACAUCCAUGUCAGUGAUAACUAGAAACACUGCUU
rnacentral:lncRNA from 1 species